GAUGGACGCUGGCGGCGUGCUUAACACAUGCAAGUCGAACGAAGCACUUUAUUUGAUUUCCUUCGGGACUGAUUAUUUUGUGACUGAGUGGCGGACGGGUGAGUAACGCGUGGGUAACCUGCCUUGUACAGGGGGAUAACAGUUGGAAACGGCUGCUAAUACCGCAUAAGCGCACAGCAUCGCAUGAUGCAGUGUGAAAAACUCCGGUGGUAUAAGAUGGACCCGCGUUGGAUUAGCUAGUUGGUGAGGUAACGGCCCACCAAGGCGACGAUCCAUAGCCGACCUGAUAGGGUGACCGGCCACAUUGGGACUGAGACACGGCCCAAACUACUACGGGAAGCAGCAGUGGGGAAUAUUGCACAAUGGGCGAAAGCCUGAUGCAGCGACGCCGCGUGAGCGAAGAAGUAUGUCGGUAUGUAAAGCUCUAUCAGCAGGGAAGAUAAUGACGUUACCUGACUAAGAAGCACCGGCUAAAUACGUG
rnacentral:rRNA from 1 species